rnacentral:rRNA from 1 species
UACGUAGGGAGCGAGCGUUGUCCGGAUUCAUUGGGCGUAAAGAGCUCGUAGGCGGCUUGAUUAGUCGGAUGUGAAACCUCCAGGCUCAACCUGGAGUCGCCAUCCGAUACUGUCAUGGCUAGAGUCCGGUGAGGGCCCAGCGGAAUUCCUGGUGUAGCGGUGAAAUGCGCAGAUAUCAGGAGGAACACCGGUGGCGAAGGCGGUGGGCUGG